CAAAUCCUGCCCAGCCCCCGGGGCAGCCAUGGAAUCUUCCCAGCUGGCUUGAGGGCACAUCUCCCAAAAUGCAGAGAAGGCAGGGUGGCUAGGAAGGGCUCUAGUAGAAUUCUCCCCUUAUCUUGUCUGGAAACAAGGGGCAAAGGGCUAUCUAUUUCCUCCUGCCAUCCUCCUGCCCCCAACAGGAUUCCUCACAUCCCAGGCCCAGCUGGAAAAGGCGGUGAGAGUUGGAAAGAGACUGCUCAGUGAGGACUGCCCUGUCAACCUGCUUGGAUUCAUCCCAUCCACCUCCACGUUCUGCACACGGGGCAGGGGGAAGGGAGGCAGCCGAGGCAGCCAGAGAACUUGAUGAAACACACUCAAUCUGAAUCUCACUUGAUCGUCAUGCUGACCCAGUGAGUCUGCUCACGGUAAGGCAUCCUUUCCGACUACUCACUCAGCUGCGAAUCCCCACCCGCCUCUGACUCCCAGCGUCUUUCGGCUCCAACGUAAGUUCACCGAAUGUCUAAGAGCUGAGGAUUCAAAGGCAUGUAAGACCCCCCGUGCCCUCAGCUGCAAGACCUGCCCGCGAUCCUACGAGCCCCGUUCCGCCCUCUUUCCCCGACCUUGGUCCCCCAUGGUCCCUACAACCAAGUCCCCGACUGACACCUUGACCAGCGAACACAGCAAACAGGCCCGCAGAUGCCGCAGGUCCUUCGGCACUGUCUCCAGGGCCAUCUUCUCCGAUGGGAAGAGCAACACGGAGAUACACUGCCACAGGCUGCGCACCCGCAGGAAGUAAAUAGCUCGUUACCCAGAAUGCCCGCCACUUCUGGCGCUCAGACUUCCUCUUCCGGUGUGGGAGGGCGCCUGCUCCGCCCCUACCCCCGCCAGAGGAGAUGGUUUCUCCCACCGGCAGGCGGGGAGGCGGGGCGGUCGGCCGCCACCUGGGCUGGGGCGCGUCCCCGCCACCUGAGCCCGCCAAGGGCGCGGCGGAGGCUGCGUAGGGUAGUUAGCGGGCCCCCGAGGGGCGGGGCGGGGCGGGUGGCUGCGCUUGCGCGGGAGUUCGUCGGCCUGAGCCGCAGCGACGCGACGCGGGCCGUUUGAUGUGGGGUGCUGGCACUGGGGCGCCGGUCCCGUUCCCGAUGGUAACCCGAAGUUUUUUGUUUUGUUUUGUCUUUCCGUUGUAGAAGCACUGGGGGCAGUGAAUCCACUGUCUCCCUCUGGAUUAUCUCUGCAGAGACC